GUAGGGCACUCUAAUGAGACUGCCGGUGACAAACCGGAGGAAGGUGGGGAUGACGUCAAGUCCUCAUGGCCCUUAUGGGUAGGGCUUCACACGUCAUACAAUGGUCGGUACAGAGGGUUGCCAACCCGCGAGGGGGAGCUAAUCCCACAAAGCCGAUCGUAGUCCGGAUCGCAGUCUGCAACUCGACUGCGUGAAGUCGGAAUCGCUAGUAAUCGUGGAUCAGCAUGUCACGGUGAAUACGUUCCCGGGUCUU
rnacentral:rRNA from 1 species